AGGGUUUGAUCCUGGCUCAGAGUGAACGCUGGCGGCGUGGAUAAGGCAUGCAAGUCGAGCGACUCUAAUUUAUGAUGUAGACUGAAACCUUCGGGUUGAUGUUUGCUGAAUUUUUUAGGGUAGCGGCAAACCGGUGAGUAACACGUGGGUAACGUACCUCAAGGAGGGGGACAGCUUCGAGAAAUCGGAGGUAAUACCCCAUAUCUCCUUUAAUCUGGAAUGGUUUUAGGGGAAAGAUGGCCUCUAUUUAUAAGCUAUCGCCUUUUGAGCGACCCGCGUCCUAUCAGGUAGUUGGCAGGGUAACGGCCUACCAAGCCUAAGACGGGUAGCUGGCUUAAGAGAGUGGUCAGCCACAUCGGGACUGAGACACUGCCCGGACUCCUACGGGAGGCUGCAGUCGAGAAUCUUUCCCAAUGGACGAAAGUCUGAGGAUGCGACGCCGCGUGGGGGAUGACGCGCUUCGGUGUGUAAACCCCUUUUAUUAGGGAGGAAAUCUGCAAGGUAAAUAAUCUUGCAGUUUGACUUUACCUUAUGAAUAAGGUGCGGCUAACUCCGUGCCAGCAGCCGCGGUAAUACGGAGGCAUCAAGCGUUACUCGGUAUGACUGGGUGUAAAGGGUCCGCAGGCGGCCAUGUAAGUGAAAGGUGAAAUACCUUGGCUCAACCAAGGAACUGCCUUACAAACUACUUGGCUUGAGGCUGGGAGAGGAGAGCGGAACUGCUAGUGUAAGGGUGAAAUCUGUGGAUAUUAGCAGGAACGCCCGUGACGAAGGUGGCUCUCUGGUCCAGUACUGACGCUCAGGGACGAAAGCUAGGGUAGCGAACAGGAUUAGAUACCCUGGUAGUCUUAGCUGUAAACGAUGGGCACUAGGUGUUUGCCUUUUAAUAGGUGAGUGCCGAAGCUAACGCGUUAAGUGCCCCACCUGGGGACUACGGCCGCAAGGCUAAAACUCAAAGGAAUUGACGGGGGCCCGCACAAGCGGUGGAACACGUGGUUUAAUUCGAUCCUACGCGAGGAACCUUACCAGGGUUUGACAUGUAGGAAGUAGUAUCUCGAAAGAGAGUCCGACCUGUAUCCAAUCAGGAACCUACACAGGUGCUGCAUGGCUGUCGUCAGCUCGUGCCGUGAGGUGUUCCCUUAAGUGGGAGAACGAGCGCAACCCUCGCCUUUAGUUGCUACCGUUGUGGCAUUUUGUCGCAAGAUAGAGCACUCUAAAGGGACUGCCCGCGUUAAGUGGGAGGAAGGCGGGGACGACGUCAAGUCCGCAUGGCCCUUAUGUCCUGGGCUACACACGUGUUACAAUGCCAUCUACAAUGGGGGACCAAAUCGCAAGGUGGAGUAAAUCUCAAAAAAGAUGGCUCAGUUCGGAUUGAGGGCUGCAAUUCGCCCUCAUGAAGCUGGAAUCGCUAGUAAUGGCGCAUCAGCACGGCGCCGUGAAUACGUUCCCGGGCCUUGUACACACCGCCCGUCAAGCGCUGAAAGCGGGGGGCACCCGAAGCCCCGAGUUUACUCGAGGUCACGGUGAAUUUCGUGAUUGGCGCUAAGUCGUAACAAGGUA
rnacentral:rRNA from 1 species